AUGCCAGCAAAUUUUGAAAACUCAGCAGGGGCCACAGGACUGGAAAAGGUCAGUUUUCAUUCCAAUCCCAAAGGCAAUGCCAAAGAAUGCUCAAACUACCGCACAAUUGCACUUAUCUCACAUGCUAGUAAAGUAAUGCUCAAAAUUCUCCAAGCCAGGCUUCAGCGAUACGUGAACCGUGAACUUCCAGAUGUUCAAGUCGGUUUUAGAAAAGGGAGAGGAACCAGAGAUCAAAUUGCCAGCAUCCGCUGGAUCAUGGAAAAAUCAAGAGAGUUCCAGAAAAAAUCUAUUUCUGCUUUAUUGACUAUGCCAAAGCCUUUAACUGUAUGGAUCACAAUAAACUGGAAAAUUCUGAAAGAGAUGGGAAUACCAGACCAUCUGACCUGCCUCUUGAGAAAUCUGUAUGCAGGUCAGGAAGCAACAGUUAGAACUGGACAUGGAACAAACUGGUUCCAAAUAGGAAAAGGAGUGCGUCAAGGCUAUAUAUUGUCACCCUGCUUAUUUAACUUAUAUGCAGAGUACAUCAAUGGGAACGCUGGGCUGGAAGAAGCACAAGCUGGAAUCAAGAUUGCCAGGAGAAAUAUCAAUAACCUCACAUAUGCAGAUGACACCACCCUUAUGGCAGAAAGUGAAGAGGAAUUCAAAAGCCUCUUGAUGAAAGUGAAAGAGGAUAGUGAAAAAGUUGGCUUAAAGCUCAACAUUCAGAAAACAAAGAUCAUGGCAUCUGGUCCCAUCACUUCAUGGCAAAUAGAUGGGGAAACAGUGGAAACGGUGUCAGACUGUAUUUUGGGGGGCUCCAAAAUCACUGCAGAUGGUGAUUGCAGCCAUGAAAUUAAAAGACGCUUACUCCUUGGAAGGAAAGUUAUGACCAACCUAGAUAGCAUAUUCAAAAGCAGAGACAUUACUUUGCCAAAGGUCCGUCUAGUCAAGGCUAUGGUUUUUCCAGUGGUCAUGUAUGGAUGUGAGAGUUGGACUGUGAAGAAGGCUGAGUGCCGAAGAAUUGAUGGUUUUGAACUGUGGUGUUGGAGAAGACUCUUGAGAAUCCCUUGGACUGCAAGGAGAUCUAACCAGUCCAUUCUAAAGGAGAUCAGCCCUGGGAUUCUUUGGAAGGAAUGA
rnacentral:lncRNA from 1 species